rnacentral:rRNA from 1 species
GACGAGCGCUGGCGGCGUGCUUAACACAUGCAAGUCGAACGGAAAGGCCCUGCUUUGGUGGGGUGCUCGAGUGGCGAACGGGUGAGUAACACGUGAGUAACCUGCCCUUGACUUUGGGAUAACUUCAGGAAACUGGGGCUAAUACCGGAUAGGAGCUCCUGCUGCAUGGUGGGGGUUGGAAAGUUUCGGCGGUUGGGGAUGGACUCGCGGCUUAUCAGCUUGUUGGUGGGGUAGUGGCUUACCAAGGCUUUGACGGGUAGCCGGCCUGAGAGGGUGACCGGCCACAUUGGGACUGAGAUACGGCCCAGACUCCUACGGGAGGCAGCAGUGGGGAAUAUUGCACACUGGGCGGAAGCCUGAUGCAGCAACGCCGCGUGCGGGAUGACGGCCUUCGGGUUGUAAACCGCUUUCGCCUGUGACGAAGCGUGAGUGACGGUAAUGGGUAAAGAAGCACCGGCUAACUACGUG